CGCAUCUGUGCAUGCAGCAUAUCAAUAAGCGGAGGAAAAGAAACUAACAAGGAUUCCCUUAGUAACGGCGAGCGAAGCGGGAAGAGCUCAAAUUUGAAAUCUUCAAGGUUUUACCUUGACGAAUUGUAGUUUAAAGAAGUGUUUUCUGUUGAAGUUUUGGUAAAAGUUCUUUGGAAUAGGACAUCAUAGAGGGUGAGAAUCCCGUAUUUGACCAUUAUUUUCAGCUGUGUGAUACACUUUCAAAGAGUCGGAUUGUUUGGGAAUGCAGUCCAAAAUGGGUGGUAAAUUUCAUCUAAAGCUAAAUAUUGGCGAGAGACCGAUAGCGAACAAGUACCGUGAGGGAAAGAUGAAAAGAACUUUGAAAAGAGAGUUAAACAGUACGUGAAAUUGUCAAAAGGGAAGCGUUUGACACCAGUGUUGUUUUUCUGAAAAUCAAUUAAAAGACUGUUUAUGCUAGUUGUGUAUUAGACUUUAAUCAGCUACUGCAUUUAAGUUUUGAGCUUUUCUUUAAUGCACUUUUCAGUUUAACAAGUCAACAUCAGUUUCUUUUGCUGUAAAAAGGUCAUUGAGGAAGGUGGCUUGAUAUUCGGCUGAAAGUGUUUAUAGCCUCUUGACCCUAUGCAAGUCGGAGAGAUUGAGGUCUGCAGCGUAGAUCCUUCGGGGCUAGAUACAUUUGUGCUAAGUUAUAGCAUUUUAUAGACAACUUGUUGACUAUGAUUUAGUCUUGUAGCUUACUCGCUUAUGUUAUUUUACCUACGCUUAGGAUGUUGAUGUGAUACUGCGAGCA
rnacentral:rRNA from 1 species